AUACUUCGCGCCGCUUAAGGUGCCAGACACAAGAAUGCGUCUGGUUAAACGGGAAACAGGUGAGGGAAUUUAAUUUCUUAGGCCUGUGCUGCCCCCGCAACGGUAAGCAGGUGUGGACGUGUUAAUAACCUGGAUGUUUCAUAAAUUCGCGAAAUGAAUGUAAGACGCGUAAAUUAUGGAAAACCUGAGUUAAGCCACUGUGAGCAAUCAUGGGAAGGCGAUACGUCUAGUCCUGCAAGCCCGGAUACCGGCCUUGAGCACAGGAAUCUCA
rnacentral:ncRNA from 1 species